rnacentral:rRNA from 1 species
UACGUAGGGUGCAAGCGUUAAUCGGAAUUACUGGGCGUAAAGCGUGCGCAGGCGGUUUUGUAAGUCUGUCGUGAAAUCCCCGGGCUCAACCUGGGAAUUGCGAUGGAGACUGCAAGGCUAGAAUCUGGCAGAGGGGGGUAGAAUUCCACGUGUAGCAGUGAAAUGCGUAGAUAUCUGGAGGAAUACCGGUGGCGAAGGCGGCAUCCUGGACCGGCAUUGACGCUGAGGAGCGAAAGCUAGGGGAGCAAACGGG